rnacentral:rRNA from 1 species
UACGUAGGGUGCAAGCGUUGUCCGGAAUUAUUGGGCGUAAAGAGCUCGUAGGCGGUUUGUUGCGUCUAUCGUGAAAACCUGCAGCUUAACUGUGGGCUUGCGGUGGAUACGGGCAGACUUGAGUUCGGUAGGGGAGACUGGAAUUCCUGGUGUAGCGGUGAAAUGCGCAGAUAUCAGGAAGAACACCCGUGGCGAAGGCGGCUCUCUGGUACGUGACUGACGCUGAGACGCGAAAGCGUGGGGAGCAAACAGG